rnacentral:rRNA from 1 species
AGAUUGAACGCUGGCGGCGUGCUUAACACAUGCAAGUCGAGCGGUAACGCGGGAGCAAUCCUGGCGACGAGCGGCGAACGGGUGAGUAAUGCUUGGGAAUCUGCCCAUUAGUGGGGAACAACCAGCCGAAAGGUUGGCUAAUACCGCAUACGCCCUACGGGGGGAAAGCGGGGGAUCGAAAGACCUCGCGCUAAUGGAUGAGCCCAAGUCGGAUUAGCUUGUUGGUAGGGUAACGGCCUACCAAGGCGACAAUCCGUAGCUGGUCUGAGAGGACGACCAGCCACACUGGGACUGAGACACGGCCCAGACUCCUACGGGAGGCAGCAGUGGGGAAUAUUGGACAAUGGGGGCAACCCUGAUCCAGCGACGCCGCGUGUGUGAAGAAGGCCUGCGGGUUGUAAAGCACUUUUAGUGGGGAUGAAAAGCUCAGGGUUAACACCUCUGGGUCUUGACCUAACCCACAGAAAAGCACCGGCUAACUCUGUGCCAGCAGCCGC